UUCGCAAUGCCCGAAAGGGUGACGAAGCGACGCCGCGUGUGGGAAGAAGGCCUUCGGGUUGUAAACCACUGUCGGGAGUUAAGAAAUGCAAGAAUGUUAAUAGCGUUUUUGCUUGACUAAGGCUCCGGAGGAAGCCACGGCUAACUCUGUGCCAGCAGCCGCGGUAAUACAGAGGCGGCAAGCGUUGUUCGGAAUUAUUGGGCGUAAAGAGCACGUAGGCGGCUAUAUAAGUCGGUUGUGAAAGCCUUCCGCUCAACGGGAGAACAGCAUCCGAUACUGUGUGGCUUGAGUGUGGGAGGGGAGAGCGGAACUUCUGGUGGAGCGGUGAAAUGCGUAGAUAUCAGAAGGAACGCCGGCGGCGAAAGCGGCUCUCUGGACCGUAACUGACGCUGAGUGUGCGAAAGCUAGGGGAGCAAACGGGAUUAGAUACCCCGGUAGUCCUAGCCGUAAACGAUGGGCACUAAGUAGAGGGGUUUUA
rnacentral:rRNA from 1 species